GGGGUCGUUACGGAUUCGACAGGCAUUAUGAGGCAUAUUUUGCAACUCAUCUAGCGGAUGUAAAACGCCAGUUAAAUAUAACUGCAAAAAAUACAAAUUCUUACGCAUUAGCAGCUUAAUAACCUGCCUGCGUGACUAGUAGCGGAUUGCUUGUGUCUGCUGUCUGGUCUUAAAAUAAGCAAGCUACGUUAGAAUUGUGUCAGUAAGUUCUAAAAGAGAUUGACUGAAUCGCUUGGAUGGGGCUUGAGUUUUGUGCCGUACCCAAGUUAAAUCAAGACAUAACCUAUGGUUGUAGAGGAAUAUGUUGGCAGGUGUUUGGACGUGGGUUCGACUCCCACCGGCUCCA
rnacentral:tmRNA from 1 species